rnacentral:rRNA from 1 species
UACGGAGGGUGCAAGCGUUAUCCGGAUUUACUGGGUUUGAAGGGUGUGUAGGCGGGCUUUUAAGUCAGCGGUGAAAUCUCCGGGCUCAACCCGGAAACUGCCAUUGAUACUAUUAGUCUUGAAUUCUGUUGAGGUAGGCGGAAUAAGUCAUGUAGCGGUGAAAUGCAUAGAUAUGACUUAGAACACCAAUUGCGAAGGCAGCUUGCUAAACAGAUAUUGACGCUGAGGCACGAAAGCGUGGGGAUCAAACAGG